GGGCGUUUAGCUCAGCUGGUUCAGAGCAUCUGCCUUACAAGCAGAGGGUCGGCGGUUCGAAUCCGUCAACGCCCACUA
rnacentral:tRNA from 51 species